AAAUCAUGUAAAGUAUUGUGGCAGUAU
rnacentral:sRNA from 1 species